GUUUUGUUGAUGUUAUAAACUCUUCAUUGAUGGAAACUUGAGUGCAAAACUGUUCAUGACAUCUGCAGUCCUAAAGUUAGCAAGUCAACUGUAGUCCUCAGCUAUAAAAGCAUUACUGUAAGUGUCCAGAGCGUCUUCCAGGUGUGACUUUCAACUGUCCACAUGGGGCCGUCCUCCACAGGAGCGAUGUGAUGAGACUCCAACCAGACGUAGGGCACUUACAAAUGUAUACUGUAGGAACAGUAUACAUUUUGCGCUGAUUGCAAGCAGGGACUCCGGCAAAACUAACUGUGACAGCAGUUAGCAUUAAACUGCACAAUAUACAAGUGCAUGCUAUACUAGACUGUAGUAUAAUAUUAUGCUCUAGCGUGACUUCUCGGUCAAUUUGUUUGCAUUUCUCCACAAAAAUUAUGACAAUGCAGUAUUAGAAAAGGAAUCAAAACAAAGUAGUGGCUAUUUUAUUGCCUGUUUAUUUAAAAAAUAUAUUUACCUGCUUAUCUUCCAUCCGUUCGAUGCGUGACACGGUGUGCUGUUGUGCUGCCAGUGUUUUGUAGUGAAACAAAGUCGGGAUCGCGUCUGGCUUCAGUCGACGUUUCUGCCUCGUGUCUCGCUUCUUCCCGGUGAUUUUUUUUCAUCCAAGUCCUGCACAAAUCCACAAUCUUCUGUAAAAUGCUCACUGCACAAUUUGCUGCUUUUUCCAGGAGUAAAGUUUUCUUGCUUUACUUGAUGAAACCACUCGGCCAAACAUCUUGGAUCUAGGACAGAACGAAGAUGACGUGGAAUCCUACGUCACACAGCGCCACCCUCGUUUGCGUCUCCUAAUACAUCCAUGUAUCUGGCUAAUCCAGUAUGGCCGCACCCGGGGAAAUGGCCCAACGGACUGAUGUUACAACUUUAACAUGUUUUUUAAGCUAAAGUCGGGUUAAUUUUUUUGUCUAGAACAUCUUGUAUUAAUGUAUAAUGAUGACAUUUCAUAACCCCGUAAAUUCAAAAUUUCCUGGUUAAUCGCUUUAAAUGACAGUUGUGCUGAGUUACUGGAGCAUCUUGGCUUGGCUAGUUAUCGAUCUAUGACUGGACCAAUGGUAUUGAUUGUGGUAUUACCAUGAAAGUUGAAGCUGUGGAUGCUGAUAUAUUUGAGCAAAGUGUAAACAAGAUUAAAACAGAUUAAAAGACUAAAGAGCCGCUGCAUUGCUCUCUUUUGGUAGAACUUAAUGCUGCAUUCGAUUUAACUCAGAAGUGUGAAGUCUGAACUUAUAAUUAUGCCAUUUUUGAUAAACGCCUUCGUGAAAGUGUGUAUUUUGUUAGUAACAGUCUCACCAACUACAUAGUGAUCAUGAGACUUUCUCAAAUCUGGAUGUCAGUGUUGUAGAUUUAAGUGACUAAUGUAUCUUUGUUGAUUGAUCAGAACUUCUAUAAACUCAUUUAAAGUGGUAAAAUAAUAUUUUAUUUACUGUUGAUACUGUGAGUGGCCAUGUUGACAUGAUGUCACAUGCUGAAUUUGUGGCUGAGGAGACCGUCUAGACUUUCUGUACAGCAUUGUGGCUAACGUAGGAAACUGUUAACAGAAGCAAAACCAGGUCAACAUGUAGAUUAAAUAAGUCUAAACUAAAAAAAAAAGUAAAAAUAAAUCUUGUAGGCUGUUGAAAGUCACAUGUUAAAUUACAAAAAUUAAUUCUCGGUGGAUUUUUUUCCUGUGACAGCACGACCUGUUACAGGUCAACCCACUUACUCUUUACAACAUGUAAUAUAUUUUCAAAAUCCUGUAUGACCUAUAAACAACCAUUACACAAUACUCUAUGAUAUCAUUCAAGCUAUCGCAUUGUAUCACUAGGAAGUGCACAGUGUGAGAUUAAACUCUUUAUUUAUUAUGUUACUCACUAUGCCACAAAUUUGGCGCUGGCACAGAAACGUUAGGAAAUCCUGCUCCAUAAAUUUCUCUAACAAAUUUGACGUUUCAAUCCAAGUCCAUGGAAACCACUAAUCAUCCUUCAUCUAUUGUUUGCUCUCCGGAAUAAGUCUCAGAUGGAUCAGAGCAGAGCUGCUUAGAGAUCAUAUGAGAUGAUGAGCAUGUUUUUUUUUUUUGUGACUCUGGCCUUUCAGCGCAGGUAAACCACAUCACUGAAGAUGGAUGCUUUGUUGUGACGGCACAGGUUAAAGUUAACUUUACAGGCGCCAGGGUGGAAGCUGCAUAGUCGCUCGUGCUCGUGCUGUGGAAGUCACACGUUCGGGCUAGCCUUUCGCUACGCCUUUGCUAGAGUGUGGGAAGAAAUGUUGCUCCCUCCUCCAAAAACCGCAAACACAAGGCUGCCAAGUGCCAAAGACCCAGCAUUAUCACAGACCUUAGUCAGUAAGGUGAGGGUGUGAAAUAGUCAGAGUUGUUCUACUUUGAAUUUUUUUUUCUCGGUAAAUUGAGGACAUGAUCUAAACAAAGUCUGUAUGACUGACUGCACCAUGUGACCGCGCCCUAUAAAAGGAGAGAGAGAGCAGAGGAAGGGAGCUCUCUCCCCAACCAGACGACUGGUGUGCGUGCAUGUGUGUGUGACUGGGAGAGUGGAAACGAUUCACUGAAAAGUACAAAAUAAAGAGUUUUGGAACUCAGUUCUGGUCUGCCGUACUUCUGUGCUCCACCCACCCGCUCAAAUUCUUACAGUGGUGCUGAAACCUGGGAGAUCGCAGCACAGAGGAGAACAGCCCCAUGGAGUCCUCCCCUUCGUGGACCUGAUCCAUGCCCUCGCCACGGCCCAACAGAACCAGCACCAGGCGCUAGUCACCCUCCGGAAGGAGCAGGAGCAAAGGUUCGAGGCCCUGGUGCUGGCGCAGCAGGAAGAUUGUCAGGUGUUCCAGCACCUCCUCGCGGCAGCGGGGUCCACCACCUCCACCACUGUGGGCCCUCCCCACCUCACCCUAAUGAAGAUGGACCCGCACAACAACCUGGAGGCCUUCGUCGCACUCUUUGAGCAAGCAGCAGAGGCCUGGGGCUGGCCGGUGGAACAGUGCGCGGUGCGCCUCCUCCCCCUGCUAACGGGCGAAGCGCAGCUGACCGGUGCUACAGCUCCCUGCCGACAGCCGGCUGGUCUACGCAGACCUCCGCUGGGCCGUCCUCCAGCAUGUGGGGUGCACCCCGGAACAACAAAGACAGCACUUCCGCGCUCUGCGCCUAGAGGAGGUCGGCCGGCCGUUCACGUUUGGCCAGCAACUCCGGGAUGCCUGCCGGCAGUGGCUGAGGGCUGACAACCGCGACACCGAGGAAAUCAUCGAUCUGGUGCUACUGGAGCAGUUCAUCGCCUGACUUCCCGAAGGGACCGCGGAGUGGGUCCAGUGCCAUUGCGCCGGCAUCGAGCUGGCAGAGGACCAUUUGGCAGCUGUUCCGAUGGCAGGACAGCAUAUCUCCUCUUCUCCCCUCUCCUUUCUCUCUCUCUCUCUCUCUCUCUCUCUCUCUCCCCCCCUCCCCUUCUGUUUCUCGUCCUCGCCCCGUCCCCCCACCGCAGAGGCGGGGGCCAGCUCCACCCCAGCUGGCCUGCCGCACCCAUGGUGCCCUCCUGUUUCCCAUUUCCGUGUCUGUCUCUCCUCCCCCUCAGGUGAGUGAGCCCCAGAACGCCGGUGCAGAGAGAGAGCCCGGGCUGGUUUGCUGGCGCUGCGGGGAGCCGGGGCACCUCCAGCAUCAGUGCUUGGCAAUGAAGGUGGGCGCAGUGGUCUGGAUCCCCGACGCGCCAGGGACCGCCCUCGAUCGGGCCGGAGCGUAUCGCAUACCGACGGACGCGUUGGACAGGGGGAUGGAGGCCGUUCUGUCCCAGGAGGUCGAGGGGGAGGAUCGCCCAGUGCUGUAUAGACCCUUUUCAGUCACGUGACCUUCGUAACAGCGACCGCCAUUUUGGACAUGUAGUGGACUUCAGCUCGAAUCGGUUUGAAUGCGAGGAAGGCGACAAACAUAAAAGAAAAAGGAGCGAGAUGCAGAAAACUGU